AGCUCCAAUAGCGUAUAUUAAAGUUGUUGUGGUUAAAAAGCUCGUAGUUGGAUUUCGGCGGGUAGAGGUUGGUUUGGAUUGAUUCAACACUGGCUUUUUUACCCGUGUGUUUUGCCCGGAUUUUUUGGGUGAUUUUUAACGAAUGUUCGUUGGAACUGGCAGGUUUACUUUGAAAAAAUUAGAGUGCUCAAAGCAAGCUUACUGCUUGAAUAGUUGCGCAUGGAAUAAUAGAAUAGGAAGUCGUUUCUAUUUUGUUGGUUUUCGGAAAUCGACUUAAUGAUUAAUAGGGAUAGUCGGGGGCAUUCGUAUUCAAACGACAGAGGUGAAAUUCUUGGACCGUUUGAAGACGAACUAAGGCGAAAGCAUUUGCCAAGAAUGUUUUCA
rnacentral:rRNA from 1 species